UCACGUGCUAAAUAGCCGGACGGGCCGCGGUCCGUCCCGGGCUUCUUAGACGGACUAUCGGCGUCUAGCCGAUGGAAGUUGGAGGCAAUAACAGGUCUGUGAUGCCCUUAGAUGUUCUGGGCCGCACGCGCGCUACACUGACAGGGCCAGCGAGUUUUCCUACCUUGGCCGGAAGGUCUGGGUAAUCUUGUGAAACCCUGUCGUGCUGGGGAUAGAGCAUUGCAAUUAUCGCUCUUCAACGAGGAAUUCCUAGUAGGCGUGAGUCAUCAGCUCGCGUCGAUUACGUCCCUGCCCUUUGUACACACCGCCCGUCGCU
rnacentral:rRNA from 1 species